rnacentral:lncRNA from 1 species
UCCCAAUAUAUUUCCAAGCCGUAGUACACUCUUAUAUAGUUGGCUGUACCUCACACGUCAUAUCACAAGAAAUCAUGACCUUGCUCGGUGGAUAGAAGAAACCUGUACAAAAUGUUCAAUACAGAAAAAAAAACCAAACGCAAAUAUUAAGGUUUAUUUGUAAUAAGUUUUGUGAUGAUCAUUUAUUUGGUCGUAGGUCACGAAUCAACGAAUUAUAGAUAAUCACCACAAAAUGACAGCUGGAUUGAACAAACGAAUUUCAG